GUUGUGAUGAGUGUAAUCGCCUUUGGCAAUGCGAAAAGCUGCGAUUUGAUAUCAGCCCCAAUUACGUGGCUGAGGCGCGUAACACUAACACACAACGCCGAUAGUCUCGAUUGUUGUCUCAAGUGCUACGCUCCCGCUGAUAGGUUAUCAUCGUUCAUCGUCUUCGUAGUUUGGAACGACCGUGUCCAACCGUGGAAGUGCCGUCUCGCAGUGUUCGGGCAGCGUGUCAACAGUUUACACAAGCCAGCCCAAUCAUGGCUUUUGGAGACGGCGAUUCCGUGCCAUCGAGCAAACUGCUUGCUGUGGUAGAGCCCUCCGACCAGGACAUUGCUAUCCAGCACGUGCCAUCGGCUGGCUCAUCGGUGGGAAUCGACUUCCUGCUGCUUGUUUGCUUCCUGGUGAUGAUCUUGCUGGUCGGGUUCGUGUUGCGACUGUUUCUUCAAAUGUGGCGUGCCCGCAUCGAGUGCCAAUGGACGGAGGAUGCGGCCGUAGUACGGCGAUUAGUUUAGCGAGAUAGUGCAAAUUGUUAAACGCAUCGGGCGCUGCCGGAAGGGAGCGAGUGGCGGGAACAGGGCCGAAAGUGGGAGGUUGAUCUGUGAUAUUUGGUGCACUUGCGUCAUGGGCGAUCAUAAACAUGUGUGGUGUGAUUUUAUUGAAGGGAGGGACAUUAUUUUACUGCCCCGUUUAUUUCACUGCAGCGACGUAUGACGACACACACGCACACACUGUACUGUGAUAGAUGAUGGAAGGGGGUUCGAAAGUAACGAUGGAUUGGAGUGCUCGAACCAGAAAAUCAGCUGAUGGUGAUCAGCUGAGGAGAACUGAAAUUAAUAAAAAGUCAGUGAAGUAGCUUA